GACAGCGAGAGAGAGGGAACACAAGCAGGGGGAGUGGGAAAGAGAGAAGCAGAUUUCUUGCACAGCAGGGAGCCCAAUGUUGGGCUCCAUCCCAGGACCCUGGGAUCAUGACCUGAGCCAAAGGCAGACGCCUAAUGGCUGAGCCACCUGGGCACCCCGCAAAUGAAGUCUUUAAAAAAAAAAAUUAGCGGUGCUGGUUAAACAUUAAAACACCUGGACCAUACCUCAAUUUGAAUCACAAUCUCUAGAAGGAGGUACCAGGAAUCUGCUUAUUUAACAAAACUGGAGUUAAUAGUGCGUUUUGUUUUUUUAAGAUUUUAUUUGAGAGAGGCAGGGGGAGGAGCGGAAGGAGAGAGACAAGCAGACUCAUUGAGCGCAGAGCCCCACACGGCUUGAUCUCAUGACCCCAAGAUUGUGACCUGAGCCAAAAUCAAGGGGUGGGUGCUCAACUGACUGAGCUUACCCAGGUGCCCCAAACUCAGUAGUUUAAAAACUAACAUAAUACAGCAAUAUGUAGUAAGAAACAAGUAUGGGGGCACCUGGGUGGCUCAGUCGGCUGAGAGUCUGCCUUUGGCUCAGGUCCUGGAUCCUGGGGUCCUGGGAUUGAGCCCCAUUUCGGGCUCCCUGCUCAGUGGGAAGUCUGCUUCUCCCUCUCCCUCUGGCCCUCCCCCCUGCCCCCCACUCGUGCGCUCACUCUCUCUUGAAUAAAUAAAAAAACCUUAAGUAUGUUAUCAUACCUUUUCAUUAAUUCACUUAGUUACCCAGGUGUACAGGUACAGUGGUAGACCCUAAGGAUGCAGUGGUUAGGAAUCGUUCAUUUGGAGAGUGAAUCCAGUAACAGUGAGAAAAACCAGUGUUGUGAGAUGUAUUUAGAAAAGCAGAAACCAAUGUGUGUGUACAUACAUGUAUACACAUUCACAAUGAUACACUGUAGAGUUAAAACCAGGAAAAUCCCUGUGCUUUGACCCAAAAUUCUGUCCCCUGCUCUUAGCAGAUGAAAGUAAAGACAGCUUGUGUACAUAGGUAGUCAUCAUUUGCCCCAACCAGGCCUCAGCACUUAGAGAAGAAAUCUGACCUGAGAGAAAAAAAGUAAUACCUAGAAAAUUAAGCACUUUACAUUUGUCUAUAUUUAAAAUGGGGAGUUAAUCUGAGUCAAGGACAUUGGAAAAUCUAAGAUGCAAAUGUUUUAUAGGCUUGAGUUCUGUUUGCCGACAGGGUUGUGGUUAACAGAUACACCAGCUAUACACCUGUGACCUCAAGCCUUAGCCUUCCUAGCCACCUCAUUUUCUGUCCAGAACCUGUUCUCCCACUCAAUAUCUCCACCCAUUUCCCUCUGCUCCCCCAAACUCAGACCUGUAACCCCCAGCCCGGUAGUUGUGAGAGAAACAAACAGUAUGUCAGCAGAACUUCAAACUUUUUAGAAUCGUUUCAGUAUUUUACCCUUUUGGUCAUCUUAUCCCCCUUACCCCUUUUUUCCGUGAAGUCUUCCUAUCUUUAAGGAUGGACUUCAUGGAAGGGAAGGGCCAGUUCACCUAGAACAAAAUAUCUGGGGGUCUGGGAGGGGGACAUAAAACAGCUGCUUAUCAGAGCAAAAGGGGGAGAAGUCAUUUUGAUAGCGAAGAGAGAUUAGGCAGGAACAGAGUAGAAUAGAAGGCAUCAGCCAGGUCCCUCAGUGACCUCCCUAGGGUUCAUCCUGAGGCUGGACAAGUAGAGGAUGAUUAGUGAGAGCAGGAACUCCAGGUAGGUUAAAUAGGAAGCUAAAGGCAGAGAAGGCUUAAGCCUCACUUCUAUUUGGAAUGCUGCAAAGUAAUCCUAUGACCACAUGGGCUAGUAAAGCACAGCAGAAAUUGAGGCAUAUCAUGUUUUGGCACAGAGGGACACAGAUUUUAUGCACACACACACAUACACACACACUCCACAGGAUUUGCUUUGAUUCCUAGAUGGCAAAAGAGGGACACCAGUUGAGUGCUAAUGGGCUUGCCAUGGGGUCACCAUGGUGAAAGGGAAGGUUACUGCAUAGCAGAGGUUGUAAGGUAGAUAGCCCAGCAAUGCAGUAACCUUGCUGGUCUUGGAAAGGUGGAAGUGAAAGAAAGACCUUUUAGAAAAAACAGCCCUAAUAAGGGGUCUGACCUUUAACUGAAUAAUUAUUUCCCUUAAAUUAGACCAUUUAAAACUGGAAAAGACCAACUUGCAUUUCACUUGGCAAGUUUAUGUGGUUUUUUUCUACCAUCACUGGGAAUGGGAACUUAGGAGAAAGAGGGAUAUGGGAAUCUGAGAGCCCCUGGAAGUCCCCAUAAAAGCAAAGGUGAGGCAAAUACAACCAAAUCAUAAGUUUUAGGUGGAGGUGGCCCCAGUGGGCUUGGGGUCUUCAUUUGGUAGAUCAGGUAGGUUUUUAUCUAGAUCAUUUCUUCCUAUCUGUGUUUCAGAUUGGCACCAAUUCUGUGUACAGUUCAGACUCCAGAACUCUGUGAUCAGGCCCUGCUUCCGUGGCUUCCUUUCACCUGAGAGCCUUCCUCUAGUGAAUCUCUUGCACAAGAAUUCCUGGCUGGGCCUGUCUUUUAGGGACAUGAUCUAAAAUGGUUGAGCUGCAGCUGGAGCAGAGAUUUACAUCACCCAGACAUCCUUGGCUUAGAUUUUGAUGCAGUAAGUAAUGAGACAUACAGUUACCUCCUUCUGAGGAAUGGGUGAAACUUUUUCAUUUUAGAACAGCUGCAUUCUGUUAGGCAGUAUGUUUUAAAGUAUACGUAUGUGAACAAAAUAGCCAUGGGGUGAAUUAUAAUGGACCCUUUUGUUAAACGACACAGCUUCACUUUGCCCUCUUCAAUAGUACCCAGCUUUGCUUUUGCAGUUUUUCUCUCGCAGCUGUAUGUAGACUUGACAAGAUAGAAAUCCUGGUCCUGGGAGAGUCCUUCUCACACCAAGAGAGUAAGCAUUUGCACCAGGCUUGCCUAACCUGAGGAUUUGUCCUGGGAAUUUAAAUCUUGAGCAGAAUGAUUGCAGGCAAGUUACAAUGAUCGCGGUAAGUUUGUGGGUUUUUGUUGUUUGUUUGUUUUUUCAGCAGCACUAGUAGAAGAAACCUUUGGGCAGUUUCUAGAACUGCCCAAUUGCCUUUUAGAAGUCUUGUUCCCAGCCUCUCCUUCUAUCCAGAGAGGUUUUUCAUAGCUUUUCAAAAAGUUUCUUUGCUUAAGUUAGCCAGUCACUAUCUGUACAGGCAGCCUUGCUAACUUCAGAGAGGACAACAAAAGUCUGGGUAGCAGCUGCUUGCUCCACCUCAGCAGCCAUUGCUGCCAACCAGCGUCACUUGGGCCUUCCCAGUUUGGCCAUCUGGGGCAUAAAUCAGUCAUUUUCUGGGGGACUGCGGGCCCUAUCUCGAGGCUGCCACUGAACAUCCGAGGCAACCAGCAACAUGCCUCAAGUUUUCGCUUUUGCCUCCUCUUUCAGACUUGAACAAAAUGCCACACCUCACAGAGAAGAGAACUGACUUCUGGAGCAGCUACCACAGCGGCUGGAUGAUGCCAUGUGGAAGGAAAGAGGAGUCAGUUCCGGAGGGGAAAGCUCCGACCAAAGGGUAAUCAAAGCAAGGAAAGAGAUGUGCCGCUGGGUAGAUCUCAGUAUUCAAACUUGUCUGUGGACUUAAUUAUGCAAAUUGUAGCUAAUUGCUUCUGGAGACACACAAACACACAGCAUGGAGGGUGAAUGGGGUCCUCUGGGUGCUGAAUCUUGAUCCUUUCCAAAAUGACAGCAGUGGAGUCUCCUGGGUUCUGCACCUGUUAAUUCAGGCCCACACUGCCUGUGUGGUGAGUAUUUAGGGGUUCCAGGCUAAAGGGCAAACUGGGGAUCUUUCUUUAUCCUGUUAUUUUCAUAAAGAGAUAUAAGUGACAUACUAUGUGUUUAUAUAGCAAGGUCUGUUUUUAAUACCAAAUAGUUUAUAUCUUUAUGCAUUUAUAUUUCUAGUAAUACAGUUCUCAGAAUCCUUGACUUUGUGCAUUAUAACAUUACAUUAGCAACAGUUGUGGUCCCCAUCCCACCUCCACCCCACCUUUUAAGCUGCUUAACAAAAAAGAUACAGUUCUCUGAUUCACUUUUGCUUUCCUUCCAAUGGGUAGAAGAGAGAAGGCUGUAUGUUUGGUUCUUUAUUUUUUAAUUAAGCCAUUGAAAUAAAAUUCUCUGUCAAACUUC